CACACAGGGAUUCCUGGUGACUCCUGUACUACAGGUACUCUAGAAGGCAAAGGCUCAACCCACGGGAAAGCAGCAGCCUGCGAGGGGCAGGACCCGCAGUAACCUUACCUGUGGUGGCUCCAAGGUGGGAGCAGAGGAAGACAGCAAUUUCCACUUUCCCUUUACAGCUUCUGACAUUUUGCACAAUAAGCAAGUAUUGCUUUUGUGAUGAAAUGUUUUAAAUAUUCAUGAUGCCCUGAAGAUCUGCAUUUGAAGGAAGCAGCUGCUGGCGAGGUGUGAGCUGGGAAACCGAGGGCUUCUUCAAUAACCAAGGAAGGACUGGGGAGCCCCCUCAGUGAAUAAAGCAAGACUUUAAGGUCCUAAAUUCUUUCUGGCAUCUUGUGAGUUCCUGUCACCUGAAGAUACAGAAAGCCACGCGACGAAGCCCAGACUGCUGAUCAGAGAGAAGAGGUCAUCGGAUUGAAAGCAGGCCCCAGCUUUGAGCAGACGCUUGCCUAGGGAAGUGUGGAAAUGCCCAAAGAAUAAUGAAGUACCUGCCACAGAGCUGCUAACUAUCCUCCAAUCACAAUGAAGCCACGAUGUCAAAACAAUUAGAAACAACAGGACUGGAAAUACCAAAUAGAGGCUGGGAGUACUGGCACACACCUUGCUCUCA
rnacentral:lncRNA from 1 species